UACAGAGGUCUCAAGCGUUGUUCGGAUUCAUUGGGCGUAAAGGGUGCGUAGGCGGCGCGGUAAGUCGGGUGUGAAAUCCUUGGAGCUUAACUCCGAAACUGCAUUCGAUACUGCCGUGCUUGAGGACUGGAGAGGAGACUGGAAUUUACGGUGUAGCGGUGAAAUGCGUACGAUAUCGUAAGGAAGACCAGUGGCGAAGGCGGGUCUCUGGACAGUUCCUGACGCUGAGGCACGAAGGUCCAGGGGAGCAAACGGG
rnacentral:rRNA from 1 species